AGGACGAACGCUGGCGGCGUGCCUAACACAUGCAAGUCGAACGGAACUAUUUGACUGAUUCCUUCGGGAUGAAGAAUUUUAGUUAGUGGCGGACGGGUGAGUAACGCGUGAGUAACCUGCCUCUGAGAGGGGAAUAACGUUCUGAAAAGAACGCUAAUACCGCAUAACACAUAUUUGCCGCAUGACAGAUAUGUCAAAGAUUUUUAUCGCUCGGAGAUGGACUCGCGUCCGAUUAGUUAGUUGGUGAGGUAACGGCUCACCAAGACCGCGAUCGGUAGCCGGACUGAGAGGUUGAACGGCCACAUUGGGACUGAGACACGGCCCAGACUCCUACGGGAGGCAGCAGUGGGGGAUAUUGCGCAAUGGGGGCAACCCUGACGCCAGCAACGCCGCGUGAAGGAUGAAGGUUUUCGGAUUGUAAACUUCUUUUAUCAGGGACGAACUCUGACGGUACCUGAUGAAUAAGCUCCGGCUAACUACGUGCCAGCAGCCGC
rnacentral:rRNA from 1 species